AUGGCGUCCCCCUCGGACGCCCAGUCUGGCACGAACGGCGGCAGCAGCGGUGACGGAGGCGGCGACAGAGGCGGCGGUGCGUCGGCCUCCAGGACUGAUCUGGAGGGGUUUUUUGAUCAGCUUGAUCUCAAUGAAGAGGAAUUCGAGGAUGUUGUGAUUGAUGAGGAUGAUCCAGAACUUCAGGAGAGUACUCGUUGGCUUGCCCUAGCUAGGGUUCAUACGGGGAAAACCUUCAGUCAAUCGGCGUUCUACAAGGACAUGCGAGCUGCGUGGAAUCCAGCGCAGAGGGUUAGGUUCCGGCCAGUCGGGCCCAAUCGCUUUGUUGUGCAGGCUUCCUGCUUGGGGGAUUGGGAGCGUAUUAUGCAGCAAGGACCAUGGCUGUUUUGUACCUGGGCAGUGCUGCUAUGCCCAUAUGAUGGAUUCACUAAAACGGAGGAGGUGAGCAUUGUUCAUAUGCCUAUUUGGCUG
rnacentral:rRNA from 1 species